AACAUGUCUUUUAAAUUUAUAAAAUUAAUUAAAGGUCUGAUCUGCUCAAUGAUAAAUUUAAUAAAUAUAAAUUAAAUAGCUGCAGUAUUUUAACUGUACUAAGGUAGCAUAAUAAUUUGUCUUUUAAUUAAAGACUUGUAUAAAAGAUUAAAUAAAAUAUUAACUUUAUUUAUUUAAAUAAUAAUUUAACUUUAUUUUUAAGUAAAAAAUCUUAAAUUAUAUUAUUAGACGAUAAGACCCUAUAGAACUUUAUAUUUUAUAAAUUAAAAUUAAUAAAUUUAUAAUUAAAAUUAAUUUAUAAAAUAUUAAAUUGGGGAUAUUAAAAAAUUUUUGAAAUUUUUUAUAAAAUAUUAUAUUUAUAAAUAA
rnacentral:rRNA from 1 species